GUCCGCACCGUAAACGAUGAUUACUCGUUGUUGGCAAUAUGACCGUCAGCGACCAAGCGAAAGCGAUAAGUAAUCCACCUGGGGGAGUACGCCGGCAACGGUGAAACUCAAAAGGAAUUGACGGGGGGCCCCGCACAAGCGGAGGAGCAUGUGGUUUAAUUCGAUGAUACGCGAGGAACCUUACCCGGGCUUGAAAGUUAGCGACCGGUCCUGAAAGGGAUCUUCCAGCAAUGGCGCGAAACUAGGUGCUGCAUGGCUGUCGU
rnacentral:rRNA from 1 species